AUUGAACGCUGGCGGCAUGCCUUACACAUGCAAGUCGAACGGUAGAGUAGCAAUACUCGAGAGUGGCGAACGGGUGAGUAAUAUAUCGGAACGUGCCCAAUCGUGGGGGAUAACGGUAGAGAAAUUUACGCUAAUACCGCAUACGAUCUAAGGAUGAAAGCGGGGGAUCGCAAGACCUCGCGCGAUUGGAGCGGCUGAUA
rnacentral:rRNA from 1 species